UGAGGGUGGAGCUGAGGGUGGAAGGGGAGUGAGCUGACGCUCGGAAGGUGUCUUGAGAUUAUCAUCCGCUGAGGGUGGAAGGGGAUGGAGCAGACACUCGGCACGUGUCUUGAGAUUAUCAUCCGCUGAGGGUGGAGCUGAGGGUGGAGCUGAGGGUGGAAGGGGAGUGAGCAGACACUCGGGAGGUGUCUUGAGAUUAUCAUCCGCUGAGGGUGGAAGGGGAGUGAGCAGACACUCGGGAGGUGUCUUGAGGCUCAGGGAGUUAUCAGUUAUACAAUGUUGUUGAGUUGGAGGAGGUGGCUGGUGGCCCAUCCUGUUUUUUAAAGUUUCAGCUGUGA
rnacentral:lncRNA from 10 species